UGCCCUAGUAACGGCGAGUGAAGCGGCAACAGCUCAAAUUUGAAAUCUGGCCUCGGCCCGAGUUGUAAUUUGCAGAGGAUGCUUUUGGUGCGGUGCCUUCCGAGUUCCCUGGAACGGGACGCCACAGAGGGUGAGAGCCCCGUAUGGUCGGACACCAAUCCUGUGUAAAGCUCCUUCGACGAGUCGAGUAGUUUGGGAAUGCUGCUCUAAAUGGGAGGUAAAUCUCUUCUAAAGCUAAAUACCGGCCAGAGACCGAUAGCGCACAAGUAGAGUGAUCGAAAGAUGAAAAGCACCUUGAAAAGGGGGUUAAACAGUACGUGAAAUUGUUGAAAGGGAAGCACUUGUGACCAGACUUGGGCCGGGCGGCUCAUCAGGGGUUCUCCCCUGUGCAUUCCGCCCGGUACAGGCCAGCAUCGGUUCUUACCGGGGGAUAAGAACGGCAGGAACGUGGCUCCCUCUCGGGGGAGUGUUAUAGCCUGCCGUACGAUACCCUGGCGGGGACCGAGGUUCGCGCUUCCGCAAGGAUGCUGGCGUAAUGGUUACUAGUGACCCGUCUUGAAACACGGACCAAGGAGUCGUCCAUUAGAGCGAGCGUUUGGGUGUAAAACCCGCACGCGUAAUGAAAGUGAAAUUAGGUGAGAGCUUCGGCGCAUCAUCGACCGAUCCUGAUGUUCUCGGAUGGAUUUGAGUAAGAGUUUUAACGGACGGACCCGAAAGACAGUGAACUAUGCUUGUAUAGGGUGAAGCCAGAGGAAACU
rnacentral:rRNA from 1 species